rnacentral:rRNA from 1 species
AACGAACGCUGGCGGCAUGCCUAACACAUGCAAGUCGAACGAGACCUUCGGGUCUAGUGGCGCACGGGUGCGUAACGCGUGGGAACCUGCCCUUAGGUUCGGAAUAACUCCCCGAAAGGGGUGCUAAUACCGGAUAAUGUCUUCGGACCAAAGAUUUAUCGCCUUUGGAUGGGCCCGCGUUGGAUUAGCUAGUUGGUAGGGUAAAAGCCUACCAAGGCGACGAUCCAUAGCUGGGCUGAGAGGAUGAUCAGCCACACUGGGACUGAGACACGGCCCAGACUCCUACGGGAGGCAGCAGUGGGUAAUAUUGGACAAUGGGCGAAAGCCUGAUCCAGCUAUGCCGCGAGAGUGAUGAAGGCCUUAGGGUUGUAAAGCUCUUUUACCCGGGAUGAUAAUGACAGUACCGGGAGAAUAAGCUCCGGCUAACUCCGUG